AGCAAAGAGAUUCUCCACAAAGAAAGAGGAAUUGACACUCAAAGUGGCAAAUUAAAGAGAAGGAGAUGAGCAUGAACUAGAAGAAAUAAAAGGAGACAAGAUGUUGGGCCAAUUCCUUCAAAUAUACUUACAAAAAAUAUUACUUCCAGCAAAAUACAGUUUGCUCUCUAAAAGCUAAUUUGAAACUAAGAUGUCUCCCACAAGUCCAGUGAUGACUUGGUCUAGUGCCAUCAGUGUCUUCCGGAGAUGAUUCAUGGAGUACUUACCAGCAACACUCCAAAAUGGGGGUGGAAUGAGAACAUGACCUGGCUGAGUCGUGAGAAGAGGUGGAACACAACAGGUGCUAAAGAUGGAGAUUCUGCUGUGCCAAGAGGGGGCAUGCCUGUGAAAUAUGGACUAGAUCCUCAGUAUGUGUUGACUUCAAUAAUUAAGCCAAAUUACACUAGUUGAGGAUUGGUGUCUGAUUGCAGGUAGGUUUGCUCAUGUCUCUUCACUCCAUCAUCCAAAAUCUAUAAGCUGAAGCUUUCAUCUCACCGUGAGAUCAAUGCCUUUCUUAUAUGAGGUAACACCAAAGGCUGCUCCUUGGAAACCACUGGGAUCUGGACGUAUCACAGCCAAAGCCAGUACAGCCAAUACUACUGAUUCAUUUCUCCCAGUAAACGGCAUCUUGAAACCUAUCUCUUCAGUUGUCCUUAAGAUUCUUUAUAAAGUAUAACAACAAGAAAAAGAGACAUCUUGAAAUUUUCUAUUACCAUGACAUUUCUGAUUAUCACAAGUAUUGACUAAACUCUCUGUCCCCUUGCUGACUGUGUGGCAGGCAUGAACAUUCAAUGGAAAAGACCAAAACAUGCAGUUUCCAUUCAAGAAAAAUGCCCACUGAAAUCAGUGGUAGCUUUGUCUGAGUAAGGAUUGUAGGCUCAGACCUACAAUCAACAGC